AUAUGGUGGCCUUCAGCAAGUAAUCUUUCUCUAACGGGCAUCCUAUGCCCGCGCCACCGAGAGCCUGAUCCUACUUGCUGCGUGCUCACGACGACCACAAGCAUCGCUGCUGCUGGUUCGUGCUACAUAAACAAACAGAGUUAAAGAACAUAGAUGAGAGGAAUUCAGUUCAGGAAGAUUAAAGGGUUAACCUCCUGGGAUACAAGAAGUUUCAGUUCAUCGAGAGGCUUCCUGGAGCUUCAAAACAUUUCACUACUCCUUUUUAGGCUUUUUAGUACAUCUUACAAAGUGUGUUUCCUUUCAUCAUUUUUGUCUACUUAAAAGAAGUGUAGAAGCUUGAGGAAAUACCCCCAAAAUCAUGUGUGCCCUCAGCACUCUUCUACGUGCUUGUUCUAAUGCUUAUGAGAAUUAUUCUUCAAGGUCAUAAUUUGGAACUAGAUAACUUUUCAUAGAUGAUUGUACUGAAGCUGGGUGUUUAACAGAAUUAUUUCUCAUAAGUUCGCAAAUCACCUAUUGGUUUGGGUUACAUCU